rnacentral:lncRNA from 1 species
AUAUAAUAUAAAAACUCAAAAGUUGACAUUUGAAUCAAAUACAGAAAAAUGUAAAAUAUCAUUCGAUUUUUUUGGUUUAAAAAAUAAUUUUGUAAUAAGAAAUAAAGAUAAUGUUUAUAUAGAUAUAAAAGAUAACCAAACAACUAUAAACAAUUUAAAAAUUUAUGGAACCAUACAUACUAAUGAGUAUUUAUAUCGUCAAACAAAGCAGUGGACAUUGUUUCAUUUAGACACAUUUGAUUUGAAAACAAAAAUGUGGACACCUCCAGUAUGUUUCACGCACAUAAUACGUUACAUUUAAUAAAUUUAUAACAUUAAUAUAUAUAUAUAUAUCAUUAGUAACUUUUUAAAAUGUACACUUACAUGUUUGUGAUUUAACUGUUUUUCUACAUUUUUUUUUUACUACUUACCUUGUUUGCAUUUAUUUUUUUGCCAAAAAGGAAAUUAGCACGUGUGGCGAUUCUACUGACACGUUUCUUGGUGGACCAUGGUAAAAAAAAAAAAACACAAACAAAAUAAAAAAAAGACAAUAAAAAAGAUAUACUCUCAUGCAUACGUUUUGCAUGCUUAUUUCGUAUAUUUCACAUAACAUAAAAAAAAAAAAAAAAAACUAUCUAUUGUUUAUAUAAAGCAANNNNNNNNNNUUUUGUCUUUCUUUUGCUGAAUAUAAUAUAAAAACUCAAAAGUUGACAUUUGAAUCAAAUACAGAAAAAUGUAAAAUAUCAUUCGAUUUUUUUGGUUUAAAAAAUAAUUUUGUAAUAAGAAAUAAAGAUAAUGUUUAUAUAGAUAUAAAAGAUAACCAAACAACUAUAAACAAUUUAAAAAUUUAUGGAACCAUACAUACUAAUGAGUAUUUAUAUCGUCAAACAAAGCAGUGGACAUUGUUUCAUUUAGACACAUUUGAUUUGAAAACAAAAAUGUGGACACCUCCAGAAAUUAGCACGUGUGGCGAUUCUACUGACACGUUUCUUGGUGGACCAUGGUAAAAAAAAAAAAACACAAACAAAAUAAAAAAAAGACAAUAAAAAAGAUAUACUCUCA